CCUAUUCUGUUGCAAAAACAUAAGAAGUUGCAACCUCCUAGCUAUUUUAGCAAUCCAUUAAUUAGCAUUUUAGUAGCUGGAAAAUAUGAUUGUACACAUUCACCACUGUUCAAACGGCAUAGCCAGAUAGAGAGAAUGUGUAAAGUCAACGUGCGGAUAUUAAUCAUUUACUCAACACUGUAGACAGCUUAGCCACAAUGCUAACUAGGUUGUUGUUGCUAACAGUUGGCUAGCAAAGAGAGCAACAAUCUGGGUCAGUGGUGACGACAAAAUGAGUAGCUAAAAAGUAUAUCAAAUUUGGCUCUGUUUCAUGAGAAAAUAACUGGCUAAAGAAAAGCACACAAUGGAAAUCCAUAGAUGCAUUGUUAGAGGAUGCGCCAAUAAAUCGGACGCAAUUAUUCAUUACAGUUUACCAGAAGAGCCACAGAGACGUCAACUGUGGCUACAGUUUAUUAAUGCAAGCAACUCAGGAGAAAAUAUUCCAGGUGUGUCCCGUUUAUGUGGCGACCACUUUACAGAAGACUGCUUCACAAAACUUGAUCUCGGUUUCACCACGAGGUUAAUAUUAAAUCUUGACGCAGUCCCAACGAUUUAUUCCACUAAUAAAACAUCGGCGUAUCGGCAACACACAGUUCCAUCUCCGAAAGAAUGACGCAUGCAGCCAGCUUGGCUAUGGCUGGUUCUGGAGCUGGAUUUGUCAUAAGCAUGUAGAGAACUUCGCCACAGAUGGAUAGGGGAAACCACUAUCUUGGGCUUUGCCAUCUAUUGUUAUCGCCAAAGUUUUGACAUCUUCCGUAGAUUGCCGCCGCGAAUUCUCCAUAGAAAGAAUAAGAUGAAGCUCUGGUAAUAUGGAUAGCCUAACUAUUGAACGGUUCGGACUAGACACAUUUUUCUACAUUGUAAUGGGCACGGUGCAACCUUUGGUAGGCUCGUGAGGCCAUGGUUCUCACAGCUAGGGGAAGUGAAAUGACCGGCUACAAUGACUUUGCUCAUGAUGUACAUUGCAAAUGAUAUGUAACAACACCUUGAGCGCAUCGGACACGAAGCAUAAUCUUUCACGGGUGCCUUUUCAUUAUUCACUGAACAGAAAUAGAACCGCAACAUGUGAAGUGUUGGUCCCAUGUUUCAUGAGCUGAAAUAAAAGUUCCCAGAAAUGUUCUAUACUCACAAAAAGUGAAUUUAUCUCAAAUUUUGAGCACAAAUUUGCUUACAUCCCUGUUAGUGAGCAUUACUCCUUUGCCAAGAUAAUCCAUCCACCUGACCGGUGUGGAAUAUCAAGAAGCUGAUUAAACAGCAUGAUAUUUACACAGGUGCACCUUGUACUGGGGAUAUUAAAAGGCUACUCAAAUUUGCAGUUUUGUCACACAACACAAUGCCACAGAUGUCUAAAGUUUUGAGGGGGCAUGCAAUUGGUAUACUGAGUGCAGUAAUGUCCACCAGAGCUGUUGCCAGAGAAUGUAAUGUUCAUUUCUCUACCAUAAGCCACCUCCAACAUUGUUUUAGAGAAUUUGGCAGUACGUCCAACCGGCCUCACAACCGCAGACCACAUGUAACCACACCAGCCCAGGACCUCCACAUCUGGCUUCUUCACCUGCAGCAUCGUCUGAGACCAGCCACGCGGACAACUGAUGAAACUGUUGGUUUGCACAACCAAAGAAUUUCUGCACAAACUGUAAAAAAAAUAAAAAAAAUACGUUUUAGGGAAACUCAUCUGUGUGCUCGUCAUCCUCACCAGGGUCUUGACCUGACUGCAGUUCGGCAUCGUAACCGACUUCAGUGGGCAAAUUCUCACCUUCGAUAGCCACUUGCACGCUGGCGAAGUGUGCUCUUCACUGAUGAAUCCCGGUUUCAACUAUACCCGGGCAGAUGUCAGAGUGCAAGUGGCAUUGUGUGGGCGAUCGGUUUGCUGAUGUCAACGUUGUGAACAGAGUGCCCCAUGGUGGGGUUAUGGUAUGGGCAGACAUAAGCUAUGGACAACGAACACAAUUGCAUUUUAUCGAUGGCAAUUUGAAUGCAAAGAAUUACCGUGACGAGAUCAUGAGGCCCAUUGUUCGUGCCAAUUAUCCGCCGCCAUCACCUCAUGUUAUAGCAUGAUAAUGCACAGCCCCCAUCUGUACACAAUUCCUGGAAGCUGAAAAUGUCCCAGUUCUUCCAUGGCCUGCAUACUCACUGGACAUGUCACCCAUUAAAGCAUGUUUGUGAUGCUCUGGAUCGACGUGUGUGUGAGGGCGUGUUCCAGUUCCUGCCAAUAUCCAGAUAAUUUGCACAGCCAUUGAAGAAGAGUGGGACAACAUUCCACAGGCUACAAUCAACAGCCUGAUCAACUCUAUGCGAAGGAGAUGUGACUCUGUAUGAGGCAAAUGGUGGUCACACCAUAUACUGACUGUUCUUUUGAUCCACACCCACACCCUUUUUUUUACAGGUAUCUGUGACAAACAGAUGCAUAUCUGUAUUCCCAGUCAUGUGAAAUCCAUAGAUUAGUGCCUAAUGCAUUUAUUUCAAUUGAUGGAUUUCCUUAUAAAUCUAAAUCAAAUUUUAUUGGUCACAUACACAUAUUUAGCAGAUGUUAUUGUGGUGUAAUGAAAUGCUUGUGUUCCUAGCUCCAACAGUGCAGUAAUAUCUAACAAUGCACACAUCUAAAAAUAAAAUAACUUUAACUCAGUCGAAUCUUAAGUCAAAUCUUUGAAAUUGUUCCAUGUUGCGUUUAUAUUUUUGUUCAGUGUAGGAUAGACACUAGAUUUCUAGCUGCAUCAGUCAAAGCAGAGGAGUGUGGCCAAAACCAUUCAUCUUGGGGGAGCAGGGUUCCAAAAUGCAAUCAUAUCACAUGCAAUUUCACCAUUUACCAUAUAUAUUUUUUUUUAAGAUAGACUAGAGCAAAAAUAAGUGAAACUUUAAAUUUCCAAUUGAUUAUGAUUAGUUGCUGGUGAAAAGGUGGGGGUGCAACCUAUUUUAAUUUGCUCCAUGGCUCAGGCAGCCAGUAAAAAGCUGCAGCCAGAGACAGAAGGAAAAAGAGGCACCCCAUUGACUUUUUUUUUUUUCUGGUUCAAUGUAAGUCAAUGAGCUAAAUAGACCAGACCCAGCUGCUAUUGCAUUGGUGUCUAUAGAUGGGUUGGCUGACAACGUCACCAAAACAAUGUGCGUGCUUCCAUGGGGCAGAAGUCAGCCUGUUGUUGUGAUUCCGGAUGGCCAGAUUGCUAGCAAGAAUGACAAGAAACCGGCCAUGUGAGUUAUGAUAAGUGGCUCGUUUCAUCUUGUUAUUGAUACCAUGUCUUAUUUUGAGGCGUUUUGACUGAUUUCAUGUCAAUGCUAAUAUGUCUCAAAUUCUCUAGCUAGCUAACCAACAACUGUAGCAAUAUAUUUGAGAGACAACAAGUGGUCAUUGUGCAAAUGUAUUUAUGUUCUCAAUAAACAUUGGAGACGAAAUAUAGCUUACAUGUUGUCAACAAUCGAAGCCAACCUCAUCUGUUUUGCCCCAUGGUUGUGCGCUCAUCGUUUCUGUUGCUAAACAACGAACCCAUCUAUGAAAGACCCGGAACUGACCAUUUUCUUCAAUGGUAAACGGCCUGAGGGAACUACACUACAUGACCAAAAGAAUGUCGCUACCUGCUCAUCGAACAUCUCAUUCCAAAAUCAUGGGCAUUA